GUAAUAUAUCGGAACGUACCCAGAAGUGGGGGAUAACGCAGCGAAAGUUGCGCUAAUACCGCAUACGAUCUACGGAUGAAAGUGGGGGACCUGCAAGGCCUCAUGCUUUUGGAGCGGCCGAUAUCUGAUUAGCUAGUUGGUGAGGUAAAGGCUCACCAAGGCAUCGAUCAGUAGCUGGUCUGAGAGGACGACCAGCCACACUGGAACUGAGACACGGUCCAGACUCCUACGGGAGGCAGCAGUGGGGAAUUUUGGACAAUGGGGGCAACCCUGAUCCAGCAAUGCCGCGUGAGUGAAGAAGGCCUUCGGGUUGUAAAGCUCUUUUGUCAGGGAAGAAACGGUGUUUUCUAAUACAGAGCACUAAUGACGGUACCUGAAGAAUAAGCACCGGCUAACUACGUGCCAGCAGCCGCGGUAAUACGUAGGGUGCAAGCGUUAAUCGGAAUUACUGGGCGUAAAGCGUGCGCAGGCGGUUAUGUAAGUCAGCUGUGAAAUCCCCGGGCUUAACCUGGGAAUGGCAGUUGAGA
rnacentral:rRNA from 1 species